AGUAAAUACAGACGGCUGUAAUAGGAAGACGUCAUGGAUGACGCACGAACAAAGCGGAUUUAUCUAGUGGCUCCCUCCCGCGCCGCGUGUGACAUCUCUGUCUAUCUGUCUGCGAGCGACGCGCAGAUCAUGCACCCCGCAGGGCCGACCGCGAAAGGCUGGCAGCGGCGCCCCAACGGCUCGCGUCCAAGGACGUCUUCUAGCAAAACUUCCUUGCGCAGCUACUGCACCAAGACCACGCAUGCUUUCGCGCCCGGCGACGGUGCUUGACUGCUUUAAGGCAGUAAACAAGCGACAAACUGUCUACCUACCCCUAGUGGGAAGCACUGGCGACGGGCUUGCUAGUUCUUUGUGGUAUACAUGGCCACUGAAUGCGCAACAAGCAAUUAGCGAAGGAAACGGAGAGGCGGGAGUACCAUCAAAGCUGGCCUUUUACAGCGAGCCGCUUACUUCUCUUUUUCUCACUUGAUAGAACUAUUCGAUGCAAUGAUUGGGACGUCGUCCUCCUGGGUAUAGUGCUUCGCUGAACGCAACUAAUGCGUUCACGGGCCGAAUUCUGCCGUCGAUCGACUUUAUCGCUUGUUUUCUUGAGGUGUGGCUACUGCUGUGCUCCUGUCUCGCGGGAAGGUCAGGCGUCUGCAACAGCGCUGGUCCAAGUCUGCGCACAACAAUGCAGCUGUGGCUUCGCUAGACGCACACAGCUGUAGCCGGGCCACUCGCUGCAGCUCUUUGUGUCAGAAGCAAACGGAGCUCACGCACGCCUGACUGCCUAUCGCAGUUUGUUGGAUGUGAUGCCGACAGCUGACAACCUGGGAAGUGCAGUUGAGGCACCACAAGUAACAGGGAGCCAAAGAGCACUUAAAGUCUCAGAAGAGACUAAAGGUUCUCAGGGAGCACCUGACUGCCUAGGAGGGACUGAGAGCUCUGCUGUGACUGGAGACUCGCCAGUGGAAUGCUCCAGAUCAGGUGCAGCAAACGUCGAUCAACCAGGUAGCCACCAGCCUACAGCUAACCCACAAGGUUCAGGUGACACACAAGGAACAGGGAGCCCAGGAGCCCCUGACGAAGACUCCCAUGCCCCCUUGUCGAAACAUUGACUCUAGGCUGAGGCUUCCCUUCUUAGUCCACAAUUAACUCUGCAGCUGAAAUGUUAAAAUAAACACAGCCGUCGGGCUAGGUUGAUGUUGUACUCUCGAACGUCUGCUAUUGUGUGAAAACUUCGUAUUGCAAUAAAGACCAUUUCUUCGGUGGUGUAUGUUGCUCUUGUGAAAUAAAUAGCUGUUGUUUGCGUCGA